rnacentral:misc_RNA from 1 species
GUAGGUGAACCUGCGGAAGGAUCAUUACCACAUCCAAAAUCUUAUUAAAAAACCCACACAUGUGAAGUUAUGAUGAGGAACCUUUCUCAUUUUUAUCUGAACCCCUUUUGAACUUUUUUAAAAAGUGAAUAAGCAAGACUAACACAACUUUGAGAAAAGAGAAAAACAACUUUUAACGGUGGAUCUCUUGGCUCGUGCAUCGAUGAAGAACGCAGCAUCUGACUGACUCGACAGCUGACAAUCUCGUAUG